UACGUAGGGGGCAGCGUUGUCCGGAUUCAUUGGGCGUAAAGAGCGUGUAGGCGGCCAGGUAGGUCAGCUGUGAAAACUCGAGGCUCAACCUCGAGACGCCGGUUGAAACCAUCUGGCUAGAGUCCGGAAGAGGAGAGUGGAAUUCCUGGUGUAGCGGUGAAAUGCGCAGAUAUCAGGAAGAACACCCGUGGCUAAGGCGGCUCUCUAGUACGGUACUGACGCUGAGACGCGAAAGCGUGGGGAGCGAACAGG
rnacentral:rRNA from 1 species